GCGUUUUUGGUGUAAGUGGUAGCACAGAUCUCUCCAAAAGAUCAGAUCGGGGUUCGGGUCCUUGAAAGCGCGCUA
rnacentral:tRNA from 1 species